AGCGAACGCUGGCGGUAGGCCUAACACAUGCAAGUCGAACGGCAGCACAGUAAGAGCUUGCUCUUACGGGUGGCGAGUGGAGGACGGGUGAGGAAUACAUCGGAAUCUACUUUUUCGUGGGGGAUAACGUAGGGAAACUUACGCUAAUACCGCAUACGACCUACGGGUGAAAGCAGGGGAUCUUCGGACCUUGCGCGAUUGAAUGAGCCGAUGUCGGAUUAGCUAGUUGGCGGGGUAAAGGCCCACCAAGGCGACGAUCCGUAGCUGGUCUGAGAGGAUGAUCAGCCACACUGGAACUGAGACACGGUCCAGACUCCUACGGGAGGCAGCGGUGGGGAAUAUUGGACAAAGGGCGCAAGACUGAUCCAGCCAUACCGCGUGGGUGAAGAAGGCCUUCGGGCUGUAAAGCCCUUUUGUUGGGAAAGAAAAGCAGCAGGUUAAUACCCCGCUGUUCUGACGGUACCCAAAGAAUAAGCACCGGCUAACUUCGUG
rnacentral:rRNA from 1 species